rnacentral:rRNA from 1 species
GACGAACGCUGGCGGCGUGCCUACUACAUGCAAGUCGAACGCAGUGGGGACGGGUGAGUAACACGUGGGUAACCUCCCAUCAGAGGGGAUAACACUUGGAAACAGGUGCUAACACGAUACUGAGGGAUAGACCCCCGGUGCAUUAGCUAGUUGGUGAGGUAACGUCUCACCAAGGCCACGAUGCAAAGCGGACCAUAUAGGUGGAUCGGCCACACUGGGACUGAGACACGGCCCAUACUCCUACGGGUGGCAGCAGUAGUGAAUCUUCGGCAAUGGACGAAAGUCUGACCGAGCAACGCCGCGUGAGUGAAGAAGGUUUUCGGAUCGUAAAACUCUGUUGUUAGAGAAGCGGUAUCUAACCAGAAAGCCACGGCUAACUACGUGCCAGCAGCCGCGGUAAUUC